AACCCAGUACGACCGCCUCCUAAGCUGUAGGUCGCAAGUUCGACUCUUGCCUGGG
rnacentral:tRNA from 1 species